UACGUAGGUCCCGAGCGUUGUCCGGAUUUAUUGGGCGUAAAGCGAGCGCAGGUGGUUCAUUAAGUCUGGUGUAAAAGGCAGUGGCUCAACCAUUGUAUGCAUUGGAAACUGGUAGACUUGAGUGCAGGAGAGGAGAGUGGAAUUCCAUGUGUAGCGGUGAAAUGCGUAGAUAUAUGGAGGAACACCGGUGGCGAAAGCGGCUCUCUGGCCUGUAACUGACACUGAGGCUCGAAAGCGUGGGGAGCAAACAGG
rnacentral:rRNA from 1 species